rnacentral:rRNA from 1 species
UACGAAGGGGGCUGGCGUUGUUCGGAUUUACUGGGCGUAAAGCGCACGUAGGCGGAUCGAUCAGUCAGGGGUGAAAUCCCAGGGCUCAACCCUGGAACUGCCUUUGAUACUAUCGAUCUGGAGUAUGGAAGAGGUGAGUGGAAUUCCGAGUGUAGAGGUGAAAUUCGUAGAUAUUCGGAGGAACACCAGUGGCGAAGGCGGCUCACUGGUCCAUUACUGACGCUGAGGUGCGAAAGCGUGGGGAGCAAACAGG